UAAUCAAACAAGAACCAAGAAUAUAAAGAUUAUUAAACCCUACGAGAUUAAUCACUCUUAAAGAAUUUUGUUUAGUUCAAGAAAGAACUUGGGAAAAAUCCUUUUCUUGUAUUAAUUUAAUCCAAAGUAAUGUUAAACUGAAAAAGUAUUAAGUUAGCCAUAUAUACACGGCUGACAUCCUAAAUCCCUAAAUUAAAAAAAA
rnacentral:misc_RNA from 1 species